AACGCUAGCUACAGGCUUAACACAUGCAAGUCGAGGGGAAACGAUAUUGGAAGCUUGCUUCCGAUAGGCGUCGACCGGCGCACGGGUGAGUAACGCGUAUCCAACCUGCCCAUCACUUGGGGAUAACCUUGCGAAAGUAAGACUAAUACCCAAUGACGUCUCUAGAAGACAUCUGAAAUGGAUUAAAGAUUUAUCGGUGAUGGAUGGGGAUGCGUCUGAUUAGCUUGUUGGCGGGGUAACGGCCCACCAAGGCGACGAUCAGUAGGGGUUCUGAGAGGAAGGUCCCCCACAUUGGAACUGAGACACGGUCCAAACUCCUACGGGAGGCAGCAGUGAGGAAUAUUGGUCAAUGGGCGAGAGCCUGAACCAGCCAAGUAGCGUGCAGGAUGACGGCCCUAUGGGUUGUAAACUGCUUUUAUAAGGGAAUAAAGUGAGUCUCGUGAGACUUUUUGCAUGUACCUUAUGAAUAAGGACCGGCUAAUUCCGUGCCAGCAGCCGCGGUAAUACGGAAGGUCCGGGCGUUAUCCGGAUUUAUUGGGUUUAAAGGGAGCGUAGGCCGGAGAUUAAGCGUGUUGUGAAAUGUAGACGCUCAACGUCUGCACUGCAGCGCGAACUGGUUUCCUUGAGUACGCACAAAGUGGGCGGAAUUCGUGGUGUAGCGGUGAAAUGCUUAGAUAUCACGAAGAACUCCGAUUG
rnacentral:rRNA from 1 species